GAGGGUAUAGCUCAGUGGUAGAGCACAUGCUUAGCAUGCAUGAGGAUGCUUAGCAUGCACGAGGUCCUAGGUUCAAUCCUCAGUAACCCUA
rnacentral:tRNA from 1 species